GACGAACGCUGGCGGCGUGCCUAACACAUGCGAGUCGAGCGGGAACCUCAGGAGGGGUAACCCUCUUGAGGGGAGAGCGGCGAACGGGUGAGUAACACGUGGGCAACCUGCCCCGGACACCGGGAUAACCCAGGGAAACCUGAGCUAAUACCGGAUACUCCGGCGUGAUCGCAUGGUCGCGCCGGGAAAGCUCCGACGGUCCGGGAUGGGCCCGCGGCCUAUCAGCUUGUUGGUGGGGUAACGGCCCACCAAGGCGACGACGGGUAGCUGGUCGGAGAGGGCGGCCAGCAACACUGGGGCUGAGACACGUCCCAGACUCCUACGGGAGGCAGCAGUGGGGGAUCUUGCGCUAAUGCGCGAAAGCGUGACGCAGCGACGCCGCGUGGGGGAUGAAGGCCCUCGGGUUGUAAACCCCUUUCGGCAGGGACGAAGCGAAAGUGACGGUACAUGCAGAAGAAGUCCCGGCUAACUACGUGCCAGCCGCCGCCGUAAGAC
rnacentral:rRNA from 1 species